CCUACGGGCGGCAGCAGUAGGGAAUCUUCCACAAUGGGCGCAAGCCUGAUGGAGCAACACCGCGUGAGUGAAGAAGGGUUUCGGCUCGUAAAGCUCUGUUGUUGGAGAAGAACGUGCGUGAGAGUAACUGUUCACGCAGUGACGGUAUCCAACCAGCAAGUCACGGCUAACUACGUGCCAGCAGCCGCGGUAAUACGUAGGUGGCAAGCGUUAUCCGGAUUUAUUGGGCGUAAAGGGAGCGCAGGCGGUUGCUUAGGUCUGAGGUGAAAGCCUUCGGCUUAACCGAAGAAGUGCAUCGGAAACCGGGCAACUUGAGUGCAGAAGAGGACAGUGGAACUCCAUGUGUAGCGGUGGAAUGCGUAGAUAUAUGGAAGAACACCAGUGGCGAAGGCGGCUGUCUGGUCUGCAACUGACGCUGAGGCUCGAAAGCAUGGGUAGCGAACAGGAUUAGAUACCCGGGUAGUC
rnacentral:rRNA from 1 species